rnacentral:rRNA from 1 species
ACGAACGCUGGCGGCGUGCUUAACCCAUGCAAGUCGAACGGAAAGGCCCUGCUUUUGUGGGGUGCUCGAGUGGCGAACGGGUGAGUAACACGUGAGUAACCUGCCCUUGACUUUGGGAUAACUUCAGGAAACUGGGGCUAAUACCGGAUAGGAGCUCCUGCUGCAUGGUGGGGGUUGGAAAGUUUCGGCGGUUGGGGAUGGACUCGCGGCUUAUCAGCUUGUUGGUGUGGUAGUGGCUUACCAAGGCUUUGACGGGUAGCCGGCCUGAGAGGGUGACCGGCCACAUUGGGACUGAGAUACGGCCCAGACUCCUACGGGAGGCAGCAGUGGGGAAUAUUGCACAAUGGGCGGAAGCCUGAUGCAGCAACGCCGCGUGCGGGAUGACGGCCUUCGGGUUGUAAACCGCUUUCGCCUGUGACGAAGCGUGAGUGACGGUAAUGGGUAAAGAAGCACCGGCUAACUACGUG